rnacentral:rRNA from 1 species
AUUGAACGCUGGCGGAAUGCUUUACACAUGCAAGUCGAACGGCAGCACGGGGCAACCUGGUGGCGAGUGGCGAACGGGUGAGUAAUACAUCGGAACGUGCCCAAUCGUGGGGGAUAACGUGGCGAAAGUUACGCUAAUACCGCAUACGAUCUACGGAUGAAAGCGGGGGAUCGCAAGACCUCGCGCGAAUGGAGCGGCCGAUGUCAGAUUAGGUAGUUGGUGGGGUAAAGGCUCACCAAGCCGACGGUCUGUAGCUGGUCUGAGAGGACGACCAGCCACACUGGGACUGAGACACGGCCCAGACUCCUACGGGAGGCAGCAGUGGGGAAUUUUGGACAAUGGGCGCAAGCCUGAUCCAGCCAUUCCGCGUGCAGGAUGAAGGCCUUCGGGUUGUAAACUGCUUUUGUACGGAGCGAAAAGGCUCUCUCUAAUACAGGGGGCUCAUGACGGUACCGUAAGAAUAAGCACCGGCUAACUACGUGCCAGCAGCCGCCGUAAUAC